UACGUAGGGGGCUAGCGUUGUCCGGAAUCAUUGGGCGUAAAGCGCGUGUAGGCGGUCCGGUAAGUCCGCUGUGAAAGUCGGGGGCUCAACCCUCGAAUGCCGGUGGAUACUGUCGGGCUAGAGUGCGGAAGAGGCGAGUGGAAUUCCUGGUGUAGCGGUGAAAUGCGUAGAUAUCAGGAGGAACACCAGUAGCGAAGGCGGCUCGCUGGGCCAUUCCUGACGCUGAGACGCGAAAGCUAGGGGAGCGAACAGG
rnacentral:rRNA from 1 species